rnacentral:rRNA from 1 species
CGUAGGACCCAAGCGUUAUCCGGAUUGACUGGGCGUAAAGAGUUGCGUAGGUGGUAAUUUAAGCGAAUAGUGAAAUCUUGUGGCUCAACCAUGAGGCUAUUAUUUGAACUGGGUUACUCGAGAAUAGGAGAGGCAUCUGGAAUUUUUAGUGUAGGGGUAAAAUCCGUAGAUACUAGAAGGAACACCAAUGGCGUAGGCAGGAUGCUGGCCUAUUUCUGACACUAAGGCACGAAAGCGUGGGGAGCGAACCGGAUUAGAUACCCGGGUAGUCCGCGCCGUAAACAAUGGAUACUAGCUGUAUGCCGUAUCGACCCGGUAUGUAGCGAAGCUAACGCGUUAAGUAUCCCGCCUGGGGAGUACGGUCGCAAGACUA